rnacentral:rRNA from 1 species
UACGUAGGGUGCGAGCGUUGUCCGGAAUUACUGGGCGUAAAGAGCUCGUAGGUGGUUUGUCGCGUUGUCCGUGAAAACUCACAGCUUAACUGUGGGCGUGCGGGCGAUACGGGGCAGACUGGAGUACUGCAGGGGAGACUGGAAUUCCUGGUGUAGCAGUGGAAAUGCGUAGAUAUCGAGAGGAACACCAGUGGCGAAGGCAGGCUCGCUGGG